rnacentral:lncRNA from 1 species
GCCAUUUAGCUUGAAGGAACAUGUGUUGAUCACCAUGUUUGCCAAUGCUGGAAGCGGUGGUGUUUAUGCAUUAAAUAUGAUUACAAUUGUCAAGGCAUUCUACCAUAGGAACCUCAAUCAUCAAGUGAUUGGUUUCUCUUGCUUUUGAUUUUGAGACAUUUUGGCGUGCUUGUGAGCGCUCAAAAGGCUCACUUGGUUUGUUUCAAGCGUCUCUCUUAUGCAUUAAUGCCUCUCUUGGUUUGUUUGCUGCUUGUGAGCGCUCAAAAGGCUCAACUUUAUCUGAGUGAUAUUUUUUUGGUGCCAUUUCAAAUGACUAUAUCUUGAGGAGAUUAUUAACAUUCCCACUUUCCAACCCUAUCAAUCUAUAGUUGUAUGCUAGUAAGCCGUUACUAUGCUUUUUCAAAAGAAAAAUCCUUAAUUACUUCACUACUGUAUUAAAAUGUAAGUUAUUUUUAUUGGGUUUUAUUCAUUUUAAAAAUAAAAUUCAUGUUUGGCAAUUGUUUUUUUAAAACAUUUUCCUUCUUCAUGAAUAUAUAUAUUUGAAACCUAUUCUUAAAAAUAGAAACUAGGGUAAGUUCAAAGAAUAUAUUUUAGUUGUUUUUAAUUUAUUUUUUGAGGAUUAUUUUAAAAAUAUUAAUACAAAUAUAAAAAUGAUUAAAAAUAAUGCAUUAUAGAUCAAAUUUAUUUUUAAAACAUAUUUUAAAAUAUAAAAAUAAGUUUAAAAACAUUUCAAGUUUCCAAACAAUCUUCCUCUAUAGAAUAUUAUUUAACAAUUUUCAAAAUCUAUUUUCUAAAACUGCUUUUUGAAAACAUUAAAAGAGGUAUAAUUUUAUUAAGCCACACACACUAAUUGUAUCAAUAAUAAGGUUUAAAAUAUUUGGAUAUAUUGAUAUAUCCAUGGAUCCCAAUAGAAAAUUCGGCAAGAUAUAUCCAUCAAUUGAUAUUUUACCAACUUUUCAAUUUUUUUGUUUUUGGUUUUUUUAGCAUUUCAACCGACAUUUCAUCGAUUUUUUUUUCAAUUUUUUAUUAUCAAAAUAAAUUGAUUUUAAUUAUUUUAUUUUUACAUUUGAUUUAAAUUAUUACCAAAAAUAUAAAAACAUAAUUUUCUUAAUAGCUCUUUUUUUUUUUUAAAUAAUCAAUAUAUUUAUUAAAUAUAAAAAUAAAAACAUUAAAAAAAAUUAUACAUAUAUUAUUAUUUAUUAGAUAUCAUUAAAUAUAUUUAAAUUAAAAUAGAUCAUAAUUUUAAUAUUAAAUCUAUUUUAAAAUUAGACAUGUUAUCAUAAUAUUAUUGUAAAAUAAUAUAUAAUGCAUCACAAUAAUAUAUAAUGCAACUUAAUAAUAAAUGUGCAUUUAUAAAAUUUAUAUUUUUUAUCCAUGUAGAGGAUAUUAUUAUCAAAUAUGAUAAAUUAUAUAUAUAUAUAUAUAUAUAUAUAUCAUUUUAAAAAAAAUAACUUUUAAAUGUCUAUUUUUACUUUUUAUAUAAUUUUAUUAUAGUUUUUUUUUUUUAAUAUUUUCAUUAAUUUUUAUGUUACUGAUAAUUUGUAUCAAAAUCUCCACCGAUAUAUCCAUAAAAUCAAAGUAGUGAUAUAUCCAUGAUUACCAAUAUUUUCAUUAUUGAUAAAAAACAACCAGUUAUAUCUCUAUCAUAAGUUUACAUAAUCCAUCACUUUGCCUAUAAAAACAUGAAAGAAUUAUUGCAUUAUCUCAUGUUGGGUUCAACUGAAUAUUCAUAACAAACUAAAUUAUUCCAUAUUGGUUUCAACUGAAUAUUGGUUAGUGUCCUAGUACAUUUUUGGCCAUCAAGCUCAAUUCCUGUCUGUUGGGAACUAAUAAUUUGUCUUAAAAUAGAGAAAAGUACAGGAGAUUUCUCCAAUUGGACUAGAUUUUAUUGGGGUGGACAACUGUUUCCCUGAUAGUUGGGAAAACAAAUUCCAACUGCCUAGGAAAAGAUUGGAAACCUCACCUAUAUGUAUAUAUACAUGGGAAUGGUGGUGCUGGAGAUAUGAAGGAGGAGAGGAGAGGAAUGGCGGAAUUUGAAGGUGAUGCUGCUCAUUCUGAGUUCUCCAAGAAGAAAGACAUCGAUGUCGAUAUUGCGGGUAUGCCUAUCUGCACAGACUAGACUUCUUAUGAUGAGGGAUGAACCUGAAAAACGUCACAUACUCUUAUCAUCAACAAAGUAUAUAAUGAAAGGGAAAGGAUGCUAAUGAUGCUGUGAUUUGUUGAUGCAGGGGAAAAAGAGGUCAAUGACUGUCCUAUUGAGGAAGUGAGGCUCACUGUUCCAAUCACUGACGAUCCGACGGAGCCGUGUCUGACUUUCAGGACAUGGGUGCUCGGCCUAAUAUCAUGUGUGCUUCUAGCCUUUGUGAAUCAGUUCUUUGGGUACCGGGAUAAUCAGCUAUCCAUUUCAUCGGUUUCAGCACAGAUAGUUGUUCUCCCCUUGGGAAAGCUUAUGGCUACAAUGCUACCGACGAAACAGGUCAACGUCCCAUUCACAAACUGGUCAUUUUCGCUUAAUCCAGGGCCAUUUAGCUUGAAGGAACAUGUGUUGAUCACCAUGUUUGCCAAUGCUGGAAGCGGUGGUGUUUAUGCAGUAUAUAUAAUUACAAUUGUCAAGGCAUUCUACCAUAGGAACCUCAAUCCAGUAGCAGGCUAUUUGCUAUUACAAACUACUCAGGUACAUUUGGAUUAAUCAUCAAGUGAUUGGUUUCUCUUGCUUUUGAUUUUGAG